rnacentral:lncRNA from 1 species
UGAAGUUCUAGCUGAGUUCUAGGUUGUUGGUUCAGUUCAGGUUGUAAAGGAGAUUGUGGAAGCUGUUGCGAGGUAUGCUGAGAUUGUAAUGAUGAUUCUUGGGGAUACUGUGGUUGAGGCCGAGGAUGAGGUUGCGAUUGAGGUUGAUGCAGAGACUGGGCCUGAGGUUGGGCCUGGGCCUGGAACUGGGCUUGGGUUGGGGUUUGAAAUUGGUGAUGAUAUUGAGGUUGGGACUGAGGUUGGGCUGCGGAUUGAAAUUGAGGACGAAACUGAGGUUGUGACUGAGAUUGAGGUUGGGGUUG